rnacentral:rRNA from 1 species
UACGAAGGGGGCGAGCGUUAUUCGGAAUCACUGGGCGUAAAGCGUGCGUAGGCGGUCUGUCGCGUCUGCUGUGAAAACUCAGGGCUUAACCCUGAGCUUGCAGUGGGUACGGGCAGACUAGAGUGCGGUAGGGGAGACUGGAAUUCCUGGUGUAGCGGUGAAAUGCGCAGAUAUCAGGAGGAACACCGGUGGCGAAGGCGGGUCUCUGGGCCGUAACUGACGCUGAGGAGCGAAAGCAUGGGGAGCGAGCAGG